rnacentral:rRNA from 1 species
GAUGAACGCUAGCUACAGGCUUAACACAUGCAAGUCGAGGGGAAACGACAUCGAAAGCUUGCUUUUGAUGGGCGCCGACCGGCGCACGGGUGAGUAACGCGUAUCCAACCUGCCCACCACUUGGGGAUAACCUUGCGAAAGUAAGACUAAUACCCAAUGAUAUCCCACGAAGACAUCUGAAUGGGAUUAAAGAUUUAUCGGUGAUGGAUGGGGAUGCGUCUGAUUAGCUUGUUGGCGGGGUAACGGCCCACCAAGGCAACGAUCAGUAGGGGUUCUGAGAGGAAGGUCCCCCACAUUGGAACUGAGACACGGUCCAAACUCCUACGGGAGGCAGCAGUGAGGAAUAUUGGUCAAUGGGCGAGAGCCUGAACCAGCCAAGUAGCGUGCAGGAAGACGGCCCUAUGGGUUGUAAACUGCUUUUAUAAGGGAAUAAAGUGGGUCACGUGUGACUUUUUGCAUGUACCUUAUGAAUAAGGACCGGCUAAUUCCGUG